rnacentral:rRNA from 1 species
AGUGAACGCUGGCGGUAGGCCUAACACAUGCAAGUCGAACGGCAGCACAGUAAGAGCUUGCUCUUACGGGUGGCGAGUGGCGGACGGGUGAGGAAUACAUCGGAAUCUACUUUUUCGUGGGGGAUAACGUAGGGAAACUUACGCUAAUACCGCAUACCACCUACGGGUGAAAGCAGGGGAUCUUCGGACCUUGCGCGAUUGAAUGAGCCGAUGUCGAAUUAGCUAGUUGGCGGGGUAAAGGCCCACCAAGGCGACGAUCCGUAGCUGGUCUUAGAGGAUGAUAGGCCACAUUGGAACGGAGACAGGGUCCAGACUACUACGGGAGGGAGCAGUGGGGAAUAUUGGACAAUGGGCGGAAGCCUGAUACAGCCAUACCGAGUGGGUGAAGAAGGCCUUCGGGUUGUAAAGACCUUUUGUUGGGAAAGAAAAGCAGCAGGUUAAUACCCCGCUGUUCUGACGGUACCCAAAGAAUAAGCACCGGCUAACUUCGUG